rnacentral:lncRNA from 1 species
GUGAACACCAUGUUCUGACCCCCUUCUGGGAGCUCACUUAUGUGUACCUUGUGUCAUGGGGCCAACAGACGUGGAUGCGUGGGAAAGAACGGGAUUCUGGUCCCGAAUGGUCAAGAUGGAGAAGCAGGUGACUGAUGUCCCCGCCGGGAAAGUGCCCAGAGAGAUCGCUUCUGCAAAAUCACAGUAGGCAGAAACCUCCAGCCUUUUUAACCUCCUCCCCUUUUAAAUAACUAUAUUUAUAUUUCGAAUACGUGAAAUGGUUAACUCUGGAGAGUCGGGGCACCUAAUCCCAGCUUGAUGCAAUUACUUUAACAUGAAUUUAAAAUAAA